CCUACGGGAGGCAGCAGUGAGGAAUAUUGGUCAAUGGACGAGAGUCUGAACCAGCCAAGUAGCGUGAAGGAUGACUGCCCUAUGGGUUGUAAACUUCUUUUAUAUGGGAAUAACAUGUUCCACGUGUGGGCUUUUGUAUGUACCCUAUGAAUAAGGAUCGGCUAACUCCGUGCCAGCAGCCGCGGUAAUACAGAGGAUCCGAGCGUUAUCCGGAUUUAUUGGGUUUAAAGGGAGCGUAGGUGGAUUGUUAAGUCAGUUGUGAAAGUUUGCGGCUCAACCGUAAAAUUGCAGUUGAAACUGGCAGUCUUGAGUACAGUAGAGGUGGGCGGAAUUCGUGGUGUAGCGGUGAAAUGCUUAGAUAUCACGAAGAACUCCGAUUGCGAAGGCAGCUCACUGGACUGCAACUGACACUGAGGCUCGAAAGUGUGGGUAUCAAACAGGAUUAGAUACCCCUGUAGUC
rnacentral:rRNA from 1 species